rnacentral:rRNA from 1 species
CAUAAUCAUUAGUUUCUUAAUUGGUAACUUGUAUGAAUGGUUUGACGAAAAAAAUACUGUCUUUAAAAUAUAAAUUGAAUUUUACUUUUAAGUGAAAAGGCUUAAAUUGUUUAAGGGGACGAUAAGACCCUGUAAAGCUUUACAUAUUUAAAAAUUAAAUUGAAUUAUAAGUAAUAGUUUUAUUUAAGAAUUAUGUUUUGUUGGGGCGACAUAAGUAUAAAUUUUAUAACUGCUUAUAUUUUUUUUACACGAGUAGGUGACCGAGAUUAGAUCCUUUAUAAAGAUUAAAAGUUUAAGUUACUUCAGGGAUAACAGCGUUAUUUCUUUAAAGAGUUCAUAUUGAAAAAGAAGUUUGCGACCUCGAUGUUGAAUUAAAAUGUCUCUAUGGUGCAGCCGUCAUAGUGG